CCUGUUUAGGCAGGUCGGAAUGUGGCCGGCGGAGCCGGCUGAACCACCCA
rnacentral:ncRNA from 1 species